CAGACGUUUCCGUGCCGUGUCGGCUCGGGCAAGGAAUAGAGCGCAUUUACGCGUUUUAGGAUUCUGUCACGGCUGCGAAUUGCGCCAUCGCUCAGAUGGAAUGCAAAAAAAAAAAAAAAAGAAAAAAAAAAAAAAAAAAGAAUGGACCUUUAACGGGAGGGUGCAAAAAAAAGAAAAAAAAAAGAAAAAAAAAGUGAGGCAGCAGUGGAUGUCAAAAAGCAUGCAGAGGCAAGCUCAAGGCCUUCCGCAGUCGGGAACAAGACGGACAAGAGACGGCGUCUGUGCCCCCCCCCCCCUCACAAUGAUUUGUAUAUGAAAACAUAGCGCGUUUUUUUUAAUUUAUUUUUUUAAUCAUUCUCCCCCCUCCUGGCUCCGCUUGUUGAGUGAUCAGCUGAUGAAGAGACUCGCAGCUCGCCGCUAUGCUGGCUUGCUAAUUCUCUCCCCCACUGCUGCUGCGGUCGAUCCUGCUAGCCCGCCGCCUGCAGAUUGCACUCAGCCUCAAGCGGGAGGGAAGAGCUCCCCGCAGGAGAUGGAGGAGGACGGCGGUCAGAAGAAGCGUAAAGGCGAGGGCGAAGACAAGGCGCUCCAGGCGGCGCAGGAAACCGGAGAAAAGGUCAAGAGGAAGCGAGGGCGGCCGCCCGCGGAGAAGCUGCCGCCGAAUCCGCCCGAGCUCACCCGUCAACUGAGCACCCUGGUGGACAUGGUGGUCAACUACAAGGACGGUGUGGGUCGACAGAUCAGUAAAGGCUUCGUCCAGCUUCCCUCCAGGAAGGAAGCGCCCGAGUACUACGAGCUGAUCCGGAAGCCGGUGGACUUCAGAAGGAUCAGGGAACGUGUGCGUAACCACAAGUACCGAAGCGUCGGCGACCUGGAGAAGGACGUCUUUCUGCUGUGUCACAACGCUCAAACGUACAACCUGGAAGGAUCUCAGAUCUACGAGGACUCCAUUGUCAUCAAGUCUGUUUUCGAGAGCGCCAGGCUGCGAAUCGUCACCGACGAGGAGCCCAGACAAACGGCGGCCUCCACCGUGGUCGCCGUGAGCGGGGCCGACGGCUGCCAACCCGUGACGCCGGCAGAGCUUCAAACGGCGUCGUUCGCCAAGGCGGGUAACGAGGAGAAGAGUUGCAACCUCACGUCCAAGAAGCCGCUCUUGUACCGAGACCAGGAUGUGGAGGAAAUCACCUCAAAGGACGAAGGGUAUCUACUGGCCUAACACCAUCUCCAAUGCCAACAUGUGGGACCUCACUAGACAAGACACAAUAGAAACACAAAUCAGGAGAAGGAAAUGGAACUGAAUUGGUCACACACUGCGUAGACACAAUAGAUCAAUCACGAAACAUGCUCUAACAUGGAACCCGCAAGGCAAGAGGAAGAGAGGAAGGCCUAGAGCCACCUGGAGAAGAACCACAGAGCAGGAGAUGAAGGCGCAAGGGCUGUCAUGGCAACAACUGGAGCGGAGGGCACAAGACCGAAGGGGAUGGAGGAGUUUCAUUUCAUCAUGGCCUAUGAUCCUUAGGGAAUUUAAAGGCCUAAGUAACAUGGCCCAAAACUGGUCAAUCUUUGCUUCCUGAGGAAGAUCUUCACUGCCAAGCACUUGGUACUCCACUACUUCUUCCCAGAGGCUAUCCAGGUCCAAUCGCAGCUGCGGCUUGGAACUUACAAGCGUAUUUCUUCAUCUUACUCGUCGUUGGCGUCGCCACGGCUGUAUCUUCCUCAUUCUUCUGCUUGUCUCCUUGUUGUGUGCGCAGUUGUGCACUGCACUCACUCUCUAAAAGCCGUAGAUGUUAUAAAGUGAUUGGGCAGGCACGCUGUUUAUAUUGUGGGAAAGCGGACGUGAAAACAGGCUGUCGACACAUCACUCAGGUCCGCAUGGAGCUGGAGGGGGCGUGGCCUCCAGCUCCGCCUGAAUUCCGGGAGAUUUUCGGGAGAAAAUUUGUCCCAGGAGGUUUUCGGGAGAGGCGCUGAAUUUCGGGAGUAUCCCGGAAAAUCCGGGAGGGUUGGCAAGUAUGCCGAUAAUGGCUUUUUGCCGACACUUGUGGAAAUCACACUUGAAUACCUUGAGAGAAAGCGAUUGCAGCUAUUUCGGAUACAAAACUUCUCAGACGGCAAGAGAACUUUCGAAUGUCGAAGUCAGCUGUGAUUCUACUUAGCGAAAAACUUUGUCCAUUUGUCGAAGGAGAGACAACGAGAAUGUAAGCUCCCGUGGAUGUGAUAAAAUAAGGGAGCGUGUGCUUUGUAAUACCUGGCCGACGAGGGAAAACUACGGAAAACGGUGAAUGCUUUUGGACUGGCAUAGCAGACUGUAUCAGUUAUUGUCCGCCAUAUUAUUAUGUAUGUCGCGGACUCAACGUCUAGGUCCAGAGUAUAUAGCGUCACCAAAAACGAAUGGACAAUGAAGGUGAAGGCAAAAGAGUGAGGAGUGUCCUGACCAGAUAUCUAGAUCCCUAGUUUGAUUGAUGUAAAAUGUUCUUUAUCACAUUGUUUACGUGUCUAAUAAAGAUUUGAUUAAUUUAUGAUGGCUCAGGUGUGAUUCACUACAAUAGGGCCCCACAGCACACUGGAUUCCAGUUAAUUGAA